AUUGCCGAGAUUUGAAAAAAAAGUCUCACUCUCUCCAGAAACAGAAAUCCUAUUAGAAAAAAAAAGAGUCACAGGAUACUCUGUUGCCAUCUCUGGCUUGCUCAUUUGUUUCUACCACUGGCUUCAUGUCAAUCCGAACUUUCAAUCAUAGCCUCCACCAUCUCUCUAGCUGCGGAUGAAGACCUAAUGACCUAAUAUCGGAGGGGGUGGUUCGGUAGAUAACAGUGUCAUCGAGUCAACGAGGAGACGCCCAGUGUAAUCUAUGGCAGCUCGUUCUUAUCUCCUUCUUCGAUGUGAUAUUCUUCCAUUGUUAUCUCAAAUUAUGAAAUUGGGGCUUGUUAUCCUUAUUUAAUUCAAUCGUCUUCUUUUAUCCUCGAUCGCUGUUGUGUUCUAUUGUUUCCACUAACCCAUGUAAUCAGGUGAUCUUUCUAUUGGCUAGAACCUGGUUUACUCUGGAUGAUCAAGUCUGGCUAUUUGUUAUGUUUCUUUAUAUCUAGGAGAUAAUACAACUAGAGACAUCAUGCUUGUAUAAACAGGCUGGUUUAAAUCCAUUGGCAUGUAUUUUUUUACAAGUUAUGAUUUUCUAACUACUAGUUAUGAACGUAUAGAAACUUUUGCGUCCUCAGUUGUGCUUCAUUUGUGCUGAUAUAUGCAAAUUCUUGUUAUUUUGAUGAUAGGCUACUUACCAACUUAUUUCACCUGCUUCACACAGCAUACUACAAUGAUCCUUAAACUAGGAAGAAGAAGAAGAACUUUGUAUGUGAUGCCUUUCAACUAGCAAAAGAGUAAGCUUGUCUUGUUCUAUCCGAGAUUAAGCUUGUCUUGUUUUGAUGUUGUUUAUAGUUUCUGCGUAAACUUGUCUUGUUUACAUGUUCUGUUUCUGUGUAAGCUUGUCUUGUUUACAUGUUCUGUUUCUGCGUAUACAUUUGCGUUGAUAUGCGAUUUUGUUGUUUAUUAACUUUUUCUAUCUGAAUUUGUGUUUGAAGAUUCAUCUGUUCAAGCUGAAGAAAAUAGAGGUGGAAAGGCUUUGUGUCAGAUUAUAAAGAGACUGAUCCAGCAUCCAUGUCUAAAAGGGACUCUCUUAGAAAAUUGAAACAGAAAAGAUCCGUCUGCAAUAAUCUUCACCAAGAGAAGCUAUACGAUCAAUCUCUAAUGAAGAUAGACGAGAAAUUAAGAUUCGAAGUUAGUUUUUUAAGACUUGGCAAGACUUAUGUUGUUACUUGUUAGUAUAAGACUUGUAUGCUGUUAGUGUGAGACUUGAAAGGAUUCUAUGUAAAAUUUAUGUUUUAUGAGCUUAAUGCAAUGUAUAUUUGAGUUAACAAAAGAAUGAUUUUAUAAAGGUUAUGUUUAAAAAUCGAAUUAUCAUUUA